AACGAACGCUGGCGGCAUGCCUAACACAUGCAAGUCGAACGAGACCUUCGGGUCUAGUGGCGCACGGGUGCGUAACGCGUGGGAAUCUGCCCUCUGGUUCGGAACAACAGUUGGAAACGACUGCUAAUACCGGAUAAUGACUUCGGUCCAAAGAUUUAUCGCCUGAGGAUGAGCCCGCGUCGGAUUAGCUUAUUGGUGAGGUAAAAGCUCACCAAGGCGACGAUCCGUAGCUGGUCUGAGAGGAUGAUCAGCCACACUGGGACUGAGACACGGCCCAGACUCCUACGGGAGGCAGCAGUGGGGAAUAUUGGACAAUGGGCGAAAGCCUGAUCCAGCAAUGCCGCGCGAGUGAUGAAGGCCUUAGGGUUGUAAAGCUCUGUUGCAAGGGAAAAACAAAAUGAUGGUACCUUGCUAGAAAGGAUCGGCUAACUUCGUGCCAGCCGCCGCGGUAAUAC
rnacentral:rRNA from 1 species